rnacentral:rRNA from 1 species
UACGAAGGGGGCUAGCGUUGUUCGGAAUUACUGGGCGUAAAGCGCACGUAGGCGGCUUGCCAAGUUGGGGGUGAAAUCCCGAGGCUCAACCUCGGAAUUGCCUUCAAAACUGGCAGGCUUGAGUUCGGAAGAGGUGAGUGGAAUUCCCAGUGUAGAGGUGAAAUUCGUAGAGAUUGGGAAGAACACCAGUGGCGAAGGCGGCUCACUGGUCCGCAACUGACGCUGAGGUGCGAAAGCGUGGGGAGCAAACAGG